UCAGUUGAGUUUGUUACCAUUCAGACACUAUGCCUAUAUCCGUACUACUCACUGAAGCCAAGCAGGGCUGCGCCUGGUCAGUACCUGGAUGGGAGACCAGAUGAGAAAACUAGGUUGCCGCCGGAA
rnacentral:rRNA from 1 species